GGGCGUUUGGCACAGUGGUAGCGCGCCUGCUUUGCAUUCCUUGCAAACUUGCAUGAGGUCGAGGGUUCGAACCCCUCAACGUCCA